CAUGCUUAAUGCAGUUUAAAAGGAGAAGCUCUAUUAUUCAUCUGAGAAUGGAACUUGAGUGUUGGACGCAAACCUUUUGAUUGAUUAUUGAGCUGAGUGACGCUGAGUGAGUCAGCUAAUCUCAGAGAAGCGACCUCAAGAACCCCUAACAGCAGUUUGACUUACAUCAUAUUUGGCCUCAAGAAUCGUUAACUGAGUAAUUCUCCUGUACAAGGAAGAGCUUAAGAAGCCUCCUGUACUCCUUCAAGUAGGAUGGCUUUGGCUGAUGUCUCAGAAGCAGUGAAUCAUGUGGUACCAUGUGCCCAUGCUUUCCUCAUGACUCAUCCAUUUCUCAACUGG